rnacentral:rRNA from 1 species
UACGUAGGGUGCAAGCGUUGUCCGGAAUUAUUGGGCGUAAAGAGCUCGUAGGCGGUCUGUCGCGUCUGCUGUGAAAACCCAGGGCUCAACCCUGGGCCUGCAUUCGAUACGGGCAGACUAGAGUUCGGUAGGGGAGACUGGAAUUCCUGGUGUAGCGGUGAAAUGCGCAGAUAUCAGGAGGAACACCGGUGGCGAAGGCGGGUCUCUGGGCCGAUACUGACGCUGAGGAGCGAAAGCGUGGGGAGCGAACAGG